rnacentral:misc_RNA from 1 species
GGAAGGAUCAUCGCUGAUGUGGGUUACACAAUACAAGUGGGGUUGUUUGUGGGGGGUGGUAGUUGUCUCUCUCUCCUGGGGGAGAUGAUGCCUCCUCCUUGAACAUACCUCGUACACUCCCAACAAACACAGCUAGGGCUGACUGAGCGUGGAUGUAGCAUUGUUAUGGCAACACAACUUUCAACAACGGAUCUCUUGGCUCUCACAUCGAUGAAGAACGUAGCAAAGUGCGAAAAGUAGUGUGAACUGCAGGAUUCCGUGAAUCAUCGAGUGUUUGAACGCAACUUGCGCUCCCUGGCAUUCCGGGGAGCAUGUCUGUUUGAGUAUCGUGCAACACAGCGCAGUCAGCCGGGACAGGCGGCUGGACAUUGAGUGGGGGUACCUUGCAGCAGCAGCAGUCAAGGUUCACUCGAAAAGCAGGGUGUCUGGGGCUGGCGAGAUGGCGCUCUUGGCUCGACUGGUGGAUUGCAGUGGCCAGUCUGGAGGUCGGGGGGGAGUCUCGCAGCCGAUGAUGUAGAUUUGACAGGGACUGACAGGUGACUGACAGUGACUGACAGCGACAGCGACACAACCGGGAAGCCAUGCAACAGCGAUCUCAAAUCAGACAAGAGCACCCGCUGAACUUAAGCAUAUCAGUAGGCGGAGGAAAAGAAACUAACCAGGAUUCCCCCAGUAACGGCGAGUGAAGCGGGAUCAGCUCAACUUUGGAAUCAGCCGGCAGCAUUGCUGGGCGAAUUGUAGUUUCAAGAGAGAGGGUUGAGGGCGGGCUCGGCUGGCCAGGUGCUUUUGGAACGAGCCACCGCAGAGGGUGACAGUCCCGUGGCGCCAGCGCGAGCAGCCCGGAAGACGCUCUUCUCCAAGAGUCGGGUUGUUUGGGAGUGCAGCCCCAAGCGGGUGGUAAACCUCAUCCAAGGCUAAAUAGCGGUGAGAGACCGAUAGCGAACAAGUACCGUGAGGGAAAGGUGAAAAGCACUCUGAAGAGAGAGUGAAAAGCACGUGAAAUUGUUGAAAGGGAAGCGGUUGGAGCCAGUCGAGGCUGGGCUGGUUGGGGGGUGGCUGGUUCUGAGAGGCUCUGAGAGGAGGCUCUGAGAGGCAGCCAUGUCCAGACCAGGCCGGCAUGUCAACAUCAGUUUGGGGCCAAUGCGGGAAAAGGCCGGCGAGAUUAUAGGUGGGUGGCCCAUGUGGCUGGCAGCCGAGCUCGACCGGAGCCAAUGCCGCAAGACCAGACUGAGGAACACGGCUGCCACGGCUUUGGACCUGCGCAGGCUCGGCGUCGGGCGCGGGCGUGCUCGACAGCAUAGCUGACGGACAUGCUCUGGGCACGACGGCGGGUCAUGGCAGGGCCCCGGCUUCAGCGGCUGGGCGGUGGCAGGGUCGGAUGUUGGCUCAAUGGCUUCAAACGACCCGUCUUGAAACACGGACCAAGGAGUCUAGCAUGCAUGCGAGUAUGUGGGUGGCAAGCCCAGAUGCGCAAUGAAAGUGAGGUUGUACACGAGGUGGGACGCGGCGGCUCAUCGCCUUGUGGUGGUGGGCUGGUGCAGCACCAUCGACCGGCCCGGUCUGGCUGUGGCCUGAUGGGCGCGAGUGCGAGCAUGCAUGGUGGGACCCGAAAGAUGGUGAACUAUGCCUGAAGAGGGCCAAGUCAGGCGAAAGGCUGAUGGAGGCUCGCAGCGAUUCUGACGUGCAAAUCGAUCGUCGCAUUUGGGCAUAGGGGCGAAAGACUAAUCGAACCAUCUAGUAGCUGGUUCCUGC